GCCAGGUGCCGUGGUUCAUGCCUGGAAUCCCAGCUGCUCAGGAGGCUGAGGCAGGAGGAUCACAAGUUUGAGACCAGCCUCAGCAAUCUAGUGAGAUCCUGCCUCAG
rnacentral:sRNA from 1 species